CCGAUGAGGAGCAGACACUCCACCAAUAAUGGCUGAAUAAAUGAAUGAAUGAGUGAAUGAAUGAACAUCAGGGUAUGUUUCGGGAAACAGCCUUCUUCAAGCGCAUUCUUUUUAUUAGUAAGAGCUUCCAGGCUGGCCUUUGAGGCCCGAGGAGGAAAGGACAGAUGUUAAGCCACAGAGAAUGGGCUCCACCAGGAGGGGAAGGUACGGGGGCUGGAAGCAGCAAAGAAGCAAACUUACGGCAGGUGUUACCAUGUACAGCAGGCCUUUCCUAAUGAGCAAAACAAGAAGAGAAAAAUAUAAAACAGAAUUUGGCUGCAUUUGAAGGUGUGAAGAGAACCACCCAGCUCUGAGAGACAUUUCCAUUGAGUGUGCAAGCAGCCGUGAGAAAGGCAGUUUGGACAGAGUCCAGCUGACCUCCACUGACAGGCGUGACCGGUGUGGUCAAGCCCCGCCAUUCACCCGUGCUGAGAGAAACGCCGUCCUAUCAUGAAGCAGGAGGAAGCACCACUGGUAUUUGUUCUUGAGUUGGUGCGAAAAGUGGCUUCUUCCACCACCUCAAAUGUGUGGUCAUGUGGAGUGAGAAGCAAGGAUAGCAUGAAGUGGUGGCCAUCAUGGUUGGCUCCUUUGGGAGAGUGUUGGGUUGGUUGGGUCCUUCCACUGCUGGGAGGUGGUGGCCACCUCGGGGGCAUCAGGGCCCUCCAGACCGUUGUCGGGGCCAUGACGCUCUUUCAUCCUCAGAGUGCAUUGCUGUCACUAACUACAUGCCCACCCCUGAUCCUGGUCAGGCUGAGAUUCGCCGUGGUCCCCAGAUGCCGCAUGGUGCCCAUCCCACCUUGUCCUCAGCCACUAGGAAGCUGCUUUCACUGGCAGCUAUCAGAACAUCUUGGGCAUGACUUAUUUAUUUAUUUAUUUAUUUAUUCAGCCAGGGCCGCCUGUCUUACUCACCCUUUCUGUAACAGUCUAAGAUCUGACCUCUUACUUAAUUGUGAUAAGCAAGAGAUACCUUCUCGGUGGCUGUGGGUGGGGCUCUAAGGACAGAGAGAUGGGCUGACUAAGCCGGGGGUGAUGUUCAGGUAUCUAAAGGGCCUUCUGAUUUGCUUUUAGAGGGAACGUGGAAGGUCUUUAUCAGCGUAGGUGACACUAUAAAAAGGGAGUAAAGUGCAAAUAAAAUUCCUAGUUGUGACUUACCAACUUCCCUUUGGUACUUGUGGAUUUUAGAAAUAAGACCAGCUGGGUUCAUAUCCGGAAAUCUCCUCCUUGCAACUGCUGAUCUUCUGUUAUUAAGAAGCGUGAUUUUUUUUCCUUUUUUAUUAAAAAAAGUGUGCUUUGGCACAAAGGAGAAAUGUUUAGAAGACAGGUCUGGAUUUGAAUUUUGGUUCCGAUAUUUAGUGACUUGGGACCCCGGGAAAGCGAAUCCCUGAGCUUUCGUUCCUUGUCUGCAAGAGGGGGAUCGUAAUGAAUAUCUCAAAGGGCUGUAAAGACCAGAAGUCAGGUGCCUGAGAAGGAGCAGAGAGUAGUUUCAGAGAGUGCACCACUCCUGAGAUAGCCUGCCUGGGAGGCCAGCAGAGCGGAAGCAGAGUCACACUGCUCUGGCCACACUAGCUGCUUCUGUGUUUUUACCACCGGAGUGAAGAGAGAAGGAACAAAUCCAGGCAGCAACUAUCAGUGAUGAAUCCAAUCACCGACGGAAGAAGCAAGACAAAAGCCUUGCAGGGCUCUGUGCUGACUGCUGGGUCUUAUUUCAAAGAGAAGGAGCACCUGAUAAUUUCGAAGGAAACUGUGUCUCUGUGGCAAGGACAGCAUGCCUGAGUGGAUUUGAUCACUCAGAGACUCUGGAAAUACUUUCUGGAUGGGUAAAUACAUCUGUACUUCUUGCAUCUUCCAACCCAGAUGCAAGAUGCCUGCUUAUUGGUUUUUAUUAAGUCACUUGUGUUUACCUUCUGAAACUUGUCCUCAAGGAAGGGCACAAGGCUGUGAGUAGAAAGGUAUGGAUGUCAUUCUUGGCUCCUCCCAAAUGCAACCCUUCAGGCCCUGGAUUUAUAGGGUGAGGGUUUGGUAUAGGUGGUGCCUUGGGGGGGUUUCUGAUCUAGGAGUCUGGGGCCCAUACUAAAUGAGAAUCGGUCAUCUGGGCCAUGAUCUUCUCAUGCUGGAGCUCAGGAGCUCGAGAAGACAGAACCGCCAUGCAUACACGCUUAAAACUGUUGCUCCAUCGUCCUUGCUCACGUUCCAUUGGCAGAACAAGCACCUGGCCAACCCCACAGUCAGUGGGGCAGGAAAGUAGGCUCUCUUCCAAGGGGGUGGGGGAGUGACUGUUUGCUGAGCCAUAAUUCAAUUUAUCGCUGCCAAUCUGAAGGCAAAGAAUUUAAUUAAACAAAUUCUCAAGCUCUCCAUCAGCUUUGUGUUUCUCCAGUUCUUAUACAAAACAUUCCAGGGAGCUUAGCUCUUCAUCAGUGGAAACUGUCUAGUCAUGCCCUGAUCAGAAUUCAAGGCCAAGCAGGGACCAUUAUUUGAGCUGUAGUUUAGCUACUUGGUAUGCACACAUCCCUAAUGAUCUUGGAAAGUAUAAUGUUUUCUAACAGCUGUAAAGACAAGAGAUUGUAACAUGAUCAGCUACACAUCAUAUCCAUGAAAUUACAUUGAGUAAUGUAAUGUGUUAUGCUGUCUUUAACACAUUAUGAAUACCUAAUUCUAAAGGUUAAUGAAAUUGACAAAUAUAUGAACACUACGGGUAUCAUCAAUACCACUUAAUGACACAUCUCUUGUUUUCAUUUACGGAAUCAACUAAAAUGAGAAGACUCUGUUGCUGCAAUUCCACUUUUUCUGGUCAUAAAUUAAAAAGUAUGCACAAUAUAUUUUGCUUUAAUUAGGAGUAUAGUUUUCUAGAGUGUUUUAUACUGUAGGUCUACAUAUGAUUAAUAUUUAAUACAAUAAGAUCAUAAUUAUUUAAAAUGAGCAUUUCGUAGUUUUUCUGAAAAGGGUUACACUUGCUAAGGGAGAAUAUUUCUUUGCUGGACAAAUCAAAGGCACUGUCAGGGCCAAGGACAACCGCCACGGGGACGUCGUCCUCCACAGAGAGCUGUAUUACCGCAGAAGUACCUUCCCAUCUGGGCUAAAACGUUUCAUCCUAAGACUGGGAAAAAUGGUGUAAGAAGACUAUUUUGUUUCUCUCCAGAUCCCGGGGUAAGCUUUC